UACGUAGGGCGCAAGCGUUGUCCGGAAUUAUUGGGCGUAAAGAGCUCGUAGGCGGCCUGUUGCGUCCGCUGUGAAAUCCCGGGGCUUAACCCCGGGGCUUGCAGUGGAUACGGGCAGGCUGGAGGCAGGCAGGGGAGAACGGAAUUCCCGGUGUAGCGGUGAAAUGCGCAGAUAUCGGGAAGAACACCCGUGGCGAAGGCGGCUCUCUGGGACGGUACUGACGGCUGAGACGCGAAAGCGGUGGGGGAGCGAACAGGG
rnacentral:rRNA from 1 species